rnacentral:rRNA from 1 species
GACGAACGCUGGCGGCGUGCAUAACACAUGCAAGUCAAGGGGGCCAGCAAUGGCAACCGGCGAACGGGUGCGUAACACGUAAGCGACCUGCCUCGGUGUGGGGCAUAGCCGGCCUAACGGCCGGGUAAUUCCGCAUACGAUCCUUGAGGGGCAUCUCUCGAGGAUGAAACGAGCAAUCGGCACUGAGAGGGGCUUGCGGCCUAUCAGCUAGUUGGCGAGGAACGGCUCACCAAGGCGACGACGGGUAGCUGGUCUGAGAGGAUGGCCAGCCACAUUGGGACUGAGAAACGGCCCAGACUCCUACGGGAGGCAGCAGUGGGGAAUCUUGCGCAAUGGCCUAACGGCUGACGCAGCGACGCCGCGUGAGGGAUGAAGCUCUUCGGAGUGUAAACCUCUGUUGCUCGGGACGAAUGGCGGCUUUUGCCGACGUGACGGUACCGAGUGAGGAAGCACCGGCUAACUCCGU